rnacentral:lncRNA from 1 species
CAGGUGAUCAAUAAAAGUUAUAAUUUAUUACGUACGAAGAUUAUGCCCCCUGACCGCAUAUAGUUUUUACAUGUAGAUCCUAAUCUAAAGAAAAAUAUUGCAAAAAAAUGUGGAACAAAUAAUAUCGAAUGGGAAAAUAAUUAUCUUACCAUCCAAUUUUCAAACCAAAGAAUAAACAAAAAUUUCAGUAACAUCAAAACUAAUGGAAGUCUUGUCACCAUAACUACUAGCCAUAUGAUCAGUUGAAUCUUGAUUAUUCAGUGCAUGGCUUCUGCCUCCAUUUUGUAACUGGUCGUGGUGGCUGCCGGAGUUGGACGGAGGGUGGUAGUACAACCGGGCAGUUUGUGGGCAGUGAGAAUGAAACCUGGCUGCUAUUCUCACUCCUAAAUCCAACAUCUCCACAUAUUUCGCCAUUUAAUUCCUCUCUCUCUAUAUGUAACAAAAUAUAUACUGAUACUCUCUUAAUUUCAUGGAGUUUACACACAGAGAGAGAGAGAGAGAGAGAGGCUUUGUGUUG